CAUUAUAAUUGGUGAAUGAUGCACAGGCGCUCUUUAUUUCCAUCAAAGCCAGGACUCAAGGCCUGUUUUCCACUCGAAAAUCCCCAUCUCAAACUCCGAUUUCAAUGGAGGAGACAAGGAUCGUCAUGCAUCUACAAAGUUGACGUGGAUGUACAGAAAUUGUACAUGGGCACACUUGGGGUGUACGGAGGAAGAGGCCAUGUAUGCCGUGCGUAGGAACCAUUCGUGGGAGCUGUGGCGCUAGCAUACUCUAGAAGCUUCUAGGGUUUCUGGCAUUCCCAAUUUUUUUUGGCCGUUUGGGAUUAUUUUUGGGCUAUUUUAUGAAUUGGCUAUGUAUUAAGUGGGUGGUUUUGGUUUUAGUUUAAUUCAGGCCCGAGAUUUUGUAAAUGGGUUAGGUCUGGAUUAAUAAGUUUGGGUUUAAUUUAAUUUAGACCCGAAAUUUUGUAAAUGGACAUUGGACUCAUAAACAAUUUGGUUUAUUAUUUAUUUUUGUUUGAUA